AUGCAAACGCGAACCAGCAUUCCAAAACAGUCAGUUCUAUUACCACCGAUCACAGAACUGGCGACUCUUCUGGGGACUAUAAUAAGUGAGGUGUACCUUAGGAUUAGAUCACUUGUGUUUUCAAUUGUAUGCUUUGUAUGCUUUAAAUUUUGUGGGCUUGUAUCGGAGUUUUAUAGAUCCUAA